rnacentral:tRNA from 1 species
AAGGGUAUAGGUCAGUGGUAGAGCCCAUGCUUAGCAUGCACAAGGUCCUGGGUUCAAUCCCCAGUACCUCCA